GACGAACCGUGCGAACGUUAUUCGGAGUCACUGGGCUUAAAGGGCGCGUAGGCGGGCCACCAAGUCAGGGGUGAAAUCCCACGGCUCAACCGUGGAAGUGCCCUUGAUACUGGUGGCCUCGAGGGAGGUAGGGGCGUGCGGAACUGUGAGUGGAGCGGUGAAAUGCGUUGAUAUCGUUUGGAACGCCAAAGGUGAAAACAGACAGCUGGGAGUGUGCUGACGCUGAGACACGAAAGCCAGGGGAGCGAACGGG
rnacentral:rRNA from 1 species